CGGAGGGUGCGAGCGUUGUCCGGAAUCACUGGGCGUAAAGGGCGCGUAGGCGGCUCGGUAAGUAGGGGGUGAAAUCCUGCGGCUUAACCGCAGGGCUGCCUUCUAAACUGUCGAGCUCGAGCACGGUAGUGGCAGAUGGAAUUCCCGGUGUAGCGGUGGAAUGCGUAGAGAUCGGGAAGAACAUCAGUGGCGAAGGCGGUCUGCUGGGCCGUUGCUGACGCUGAGGCGCGACAGCGUGGGGAGCAAACAGGAUUAGAUACCCUGGUAGUCCACGCCGUAAACGAUGGGCACUAGGCGUCGGGGGGAGCGACCCUCCCGGUGCCGUCGCUAACGCAGUAAGUGCCCCGCCUGGGGAGUACGGCCGCAAGGCUG
rnacentral:rRNA from 1 species